AAGGAUCAUUAGCGAGCUGGGGCCCCCCGGGGCCUCAACCUCCCCACCCCGUGCGUACCAAAAAUCUGUUGCUUCGGCGGGUCCCCCCCGCCGAAGGUGAAUCCAAACCCCUCUAGAAUUCGGUCUGAACACGUACGAACGCAAUUGCCAAAAACUUUCAACAACGGAUCUCUUGGUUCUGGCAUCGAUGAAGAACGCAGCAAAAUGCGAUAAGUAAUGUGAAUUGCAGAAUUCAGCGAAUCAUCGAAUCUUUGAACGCACAUUGCGCCCCCUGGCAUUCCGGGGGGCAUGUCUGUCCGAGCGUCGCGAAACUAUCGUCGACCGGGGUCCUUUGGCCCCGGACGGAGUUGGGGGAUACGUUCCGAGCAACGCCCCCGAAAAUCAGCGGCGGUUCGGUCGAACCCCUAGCGCGGUGGAUCAUUCUCGCUACCGGGGAUCCGACCGUUCCCGCCGGGCAACCCCCAUUGCGCGGGCAGCCGCAUGCUCUCCCUCCAUCGACCUCNGAUCAGACAGGGAUACCCGCUGAACUUAA
rnacentral:rRNA from 1 species